rnacentral:rRNA from 1 species
GACGAACGCUGGCGGCGUGCCUAAUACAUGCAAGUAGAACGCUGAAGGAGGAGCUUGCUUCUCUGGAUGAGUUGCGAACGGGUGAGUAACGCGUAGGUAACCUGCCUGGUAGCGGGGGAUAACUAUUGGAAACGAUAGCUAAUACCGCAUAAGAGUAGAUGUUACAUGACAUUUGCUUAAAAGGUGCAAUUGCAUCACUACCAGAUGGACCUGCGUUGUAUUAGCUAGUUGGUGGGGUAAAGGCUUACCAAGGCGACGAUACAUAGCCGACCUGAGAGGGUGAUCGGCCACACUGGGACUGAGACACGGCCCAGACUCCUACGGGAGGCAGCAGUAGGGAAUCUUCGGCAAUGGACGGAAGUCUGACCGAGCAACGCCGCGUGAGUGAAGAAGGUUUUCGGAUCGUAAAGCUCUGUUGUAAGAGAAGAACGAGUGUGAGAGUGGAAAGUUCACACUGUGACGGUAUCUUACCAGAAAGGGACGGCUAACUACGUG